CCCCAGUCCUGAGGGGAGCCCCCGCAGCGCUCCCGCUACCGCGGGUCCCUGGGAAGAUCCCCCCUAGGUGAAGCCCCUGCCUGAGGAGCUUCCCCCCUGCCCCAGGCCCGCCAGUAAUGGGGGGUCCUAAGGGGGUUCUCUUCAGCACUGAGGGCCGGCGAGGUAACUCAUUUACCAAACUUGCCAUGAGCCACUUUCAUAGGAACACAGAUUGGGAAAAGUACUGAAAUUGAAGUUUUGAUAAAGUAAGUCUGAUAUGUUUCAAUGAGCAAAGCCUGGGAGAGAAGAACAUAUUGGUGAGGUUAGACAUCUGGAAUGCCGAAUUUAUGAACCACAAGGACAUUUUGCAGAAACCUGAAGAUAAAGAAGAGGCUAACAAAGACUCCAUCUAUGUGUUGAAAGUUCCUGCUUUCCAAAGAUAGAAGACUAAAAAGAUGGAGUAAUUAACAUAAGAAGUGGCAAAUCAGUAACCAAUAGAGGAUAGAAUAGUAUUAAAUGAAAGAGAAUUAUAAUUAUGGAAUUUAGAACAAAUUAAACAUUUUUUUUUUCCCUAAAGAUGUAUAAACAGGUGAAAAAUUUUGUAUUUCCGUCUGUGUGGAGGCUGGAACUCUGUUGGCCACACACACCCCAGCCAAGGAUAAAGUAAUGCCACUGACACUGAAAAGACAGUGUUGGAGGGGUUUUUCUGAUGAUUUCAGAGGGUUUGGAACACUCCCAGGAGACACCCACUGAGCAGUGCCCAAGCACAGCCCACACCAUGGGCUCCCAGAGC